ACGUCUGUAGACUGCUGAGUGAUGACAGUGACACAACUUAACAUCAUGACAUUUGUAGACUGCUGAGUGAUGACAGCGACACAACUUCACAUCCUGACAUCUGUAGACUGCUGAGUGAUGACAGUGACACAACUUAACAUCCCGACAUCUGUAGACUGCUGAGUGAUGACAGUGACACAACUUAACAUCCUGACAUCUGCAGACCUCUGUGUAUUGACAGUGUCACAGCCUAUCCUGUUUUUACACAUUGUGACAAUUCGACAUCCUGACACCUGGAGACCGCUUAGUCAUGUCAGUCCCAAUUCUCUAGGGUCUGCAAUCUGCUGUAUAAUGACACUGUCACAAAACACUGUCACAAGACACUGUCACAAUUCUAUAAGGUGUACAACCUGCUGUAUAAUGACACUGUCACAAAACACUGUCACAAGACACUGUCACAAUUCUAUAAGGUGUACAACCUGCUGUAUAAUGACACUGUCACAAAACACUGUCACAAGACACUGUCACAGUUCUAUAAGGUGUACAACCUGCUGUAUAAUGACACUGUCACAAAACACUGUCACAAGACACUGUCACAAUUCUAUAAGGUGUACAACCUGCUGUAUAAUGACACUGUCACAAAACACUGUCACAAGACACUGUCACAAUUCUAUAAGGUCUACAACCUGCUGUAUAAUGACACUGUCACAAGACACCGUCACAAGCUGCGUGAUGUCAGAGACCAACAAUCUGAGGGACAUUGGCUGCAUGGUUGACACUUGUUUAGUCUCACUCAGUCACUCACUAGUCUCAGCUCUUGAAAACAAAAGAAAAGAUGGUUUCAGGUUAAAAACAGUUAAAUACGGGUUGAAAGAAGAUGAAAGAAAACAUGUUUUCAUGUAACCCUCGCCCAGAUGACCAGCUUGUCCUUGGCACAUGGCGCCACUGACAUCAAGUCUUGUGUCGACUUUGUCCUCGUGUCAGUCAACUUCACAUCUUCCUUCAUUCAUUAAAGCCGUGCUUUGCGAGUCGUUA